UGUAACAGUUUAUUAAAACCAGUUGGAGAAAUGCUAAUAUCUUUUAUAGUAAUCACUUCCUUGUUUCUGUUUCUAGCUUUAUCAUCUAAGCAUUCGCUCCUGCACAUUAUAUGUUCCCCUAACCAUCAUUUGGCGCCUCCGCUGGUCUCAGUGUCUUGCCUGGAUGUAUGACCCUGACCUUCAUCCCAGAGAGGUCAGCAUCCCCUUUUUGGGUCUUGCCUGCUGUACUUUUCCACGCAACCAACACAGGGCCGGAGAGCAGCAAGAGAAGGCCACGCAGAACCCGAGACCGCACCCUUCCCUGCCCUCCCUGUCGACACCGAGUCUCCCUCCUCCCAGGCCUCGCGUGGCAGGAAGUACCCGCAGUGAGUGAAGCUGGCAGUGAACGCUGCAUCAGACCCGCAGAACGAGUUUCCAAGGCCACCUGAAAGAUGAUUCACACCUUGGUUUUAAGAGGGAAGGACGCGGGAGCGCGCCCAGAGCGUGUGGACGCUGGGCGGGAGCCGGGAGCUCCUGGACCAGCUCCCGGAGGAGGAACGCGGCCUGGGGUCUGGGCCUCCGCUUGCUGUCGCUUCUGCUGCCGCUGCCGAGCAGGAGCAGGCUGACAGGGAGAAGUGCUUUGCAAGCUGAGGAAUUGCAGCUGCCUCCAGCCCCGCCUGCCCGCGCCCUGAGCCUGGGACAGCUGACUGCGCACCCCGCACACGCUCAGGAUCCUUGUUUGGUGGCUGUCACCAUGGUGAUUGGAGCUGGACUGCCCUGCCCGCGCGGGGUGAGGGGAACCCCAGCCUGAGCUUCCCCUCUGUGGUCCAGCAGAGGCGAGGCGGGGCAGGCAUGCAAGCCUGGAUGUCUGAGCCCGCCCAGAGCAGUGGAAACUGGGCAGGAGCCCUGUUCUCCUGGACCAGCUACCCGUGGAGGAACACGGCCUCGGAUCUGGGCCGCCUCUGUGGCCUCUGCUGCCUUCACCCGGCAGCCUCUCCAGCAUUUCUCCUUUGUGGACUUUUGAAUGACGGCCUUUCUGACUGGUGCGAGCUGUCCCGUUUCCCCUGUGUCAUUUGCUGAAGAGACUGUCUUUACUCCACUCUAUGUUGUUCCUGCCUUGUUUAUCGAAGAUGAAUUGACCAGAAGUUUGUGGGUUUUCUCUCUGGACCCUAUAUUCUGUUCCCUUGAUCCGUAUGUCUGUUCCCUCACCACCCCCCCAACUUUUCCAGUUUUA